rnacentral:rRNA from 1 species
UUUUACAAUGGAGAGUUUGAUCCUGGCUCAGGAUGAACGCUAGCUACAGGCUUAACACAUGCAAGUCGAGGGGAAACGGCAUUAAGUGCUUGCACUUUUUGGACGUCGACCGGCGCACGGGUGAGUAACGCGUAUCCAACCUUCCCAUUACUGUGGGAUAACCUGCCGAAAGGCAGACUAAUACCGCAUGGUCUUCGAUGACGGCAUCAGAUUUGAAGUAAAGAUUUAUCGGUAAUGGAUGGGGAUGCGUCUGAUUAGCUUGUUGGCGGGGUAACGGCCCACCAAGGCAACGAUCAGUAGGGGUUCUGAGAGGAAGGUCCCCCACAUUGGAACUGAGACACGGUCCAAACUCCUACGGGAGGCAGCAGUGAGGAAUAUUGGUCAAUGGACGGAAGUCUGAACCAGCCAAGUAGCGUGCAGGAUGACGGCCCUAUGGGUUGUAAACUGCUUUUGUAUGGGGAUAAAGUCAAUCACGUGUGAUUGUUUGCAGGUACCAUACGAAUAAGGACCGGCUAAUUCCGUGCCAGCAGCCGCGGUAAUACGGAAGGUCCGGGCGUUAUCCGGAUUUAUUGGGUUUAAAGGGAGCGUAGGCCGGAGAUUAAGUGUGUUGUGAAAUGUAGACGCUCAACGUCUGACUUGCAGCGCAUACUGGUUUCCUUGAGUACGCACAACGUUGGCGGAAUUCGUCGUGUAGCGGUGAAAUGCUUAGAUAUGACGAAGAACUCCGAUUGCGAAGGCAGCUGACGGGAGCGCAACUGACGCUGAAGCUCGAAGGUGCGGGUAUCGAACAGGAUUAGAUACCCUGGUAGUCCGCACAGUAAACGAUGGAUGCCCGCUGUUGGUACCUGGUAUCAGCGGCUAAGCGAAAGCAUUAAGCAUCCCACCUGGGGAGUACGCCGGCAACGGUGAAACUCAAAGGAAUUGACGGGGGCCCGCACAAGCGGUG